AUGUGCUUGGCGUAUCGGGCGGCGCCGCGAGUUUCGCGCUCGUCGCGAUGAUCGCCGGAUGCGCGUGGUGGAUCGUCGACGCCAGCGCGUU
rnacentral:tRNA from 1 species